UACGUAGGGGGCAAGCGUUGUCCGGAUUUAUUGGGCGUAAAGAGCGUGUAGGCGGUUUGGUAGGUCCGUUGUGAAAACUCGAGGCUCAACCUCGAGACGCCGAUGGAAACCAUCAGACUAGAGUCCGGAAGAGGAGAGUGGAAUUCCUGGUGUAGCGGUGGAAUGCGCAGAUAUCGGGAGGAACACCGGUGGCGAAAGCGGCGCACUGGACCACAACUGACGCUGAGGCGCGAAAGCUAAGGGGAGCAAACAGGGAU
rnacentral:rRNA from 1 species